GCCCGGGGCCUACGAGGACACGCCCCGUGCGCGACCCCGCCCCGCGCGAGCCCCGCCCACGACCGGCCUGGGCUGGGCAAGUCCCAACUGGAUUGGUGCUAGGGCGCACCGAAGACCGCGCCGCACGGCGAGACCUGGGGACCUGCCCCGUCUGUGGGGCCGGAAAGUUAGCUUGAGGGCGCCGGUGGUCAGCAAGACUCCCCACUCACCCAGAGACAGAGGAGCUAGGCGGGAGGCAGACCCCGGGUGGUGACUGGAGAGGUGGAGAAGGUGGCACCCAGCCCACCAGAGCCCAGAACUGAGCCCAAGACCAAAUCCUCCUCCAGUCUAAGCCCAGGAAACCACUCUGAGGCUGCAGGUUCUAGUGGCUGAGGAAAUGCCAGACGGGAAGCUUCAGGCGCAGAUUCAGCUCCCUAGGGAAGAAGAGUUUGAGACUGAGGAGGUUAAGAUCUAGAGGAAGCAGUGAGUUGGGGAGAUGGCUCCCCUGAGUCCAGAGGAUUACAGAGACUGCAGCAUGAAGGCUAUGGAGCAGACAUUCGGACUUCCAGCAAGAUGGGUAGGAGCCAAGAAUAUCUGGGAACUUGAAACCACUUCUCCACACAGUCUAGGUAGGCCUGACGCACCUCAGCAGCUCCAGCUGCCUUAGGAGGCUGAGUUUCUCUUUCUGCAUGUUCCUGGAGACAGCAACCACAUCUCUGGGGGGUAGAAGGUUGUGAUCCAGAUGCAGGAUGGGGGGAAGGGACCCUCUACCCUCCCCACGGGCACCUCACCACACCUUUGGGUUUGCUCCUGACGGCCCUGUGCUUCGCCCUCCAGUCGGCUGAGCUGCUCUUGCGCCUGGUCCAGCUGUGCCCGUAUGGCCUCAUAGGCCCUGCGCAGCUGGCUGUGCUGGGCCUGUACCUCUAGCUGUUCUUCAGUCCGGGCCUGCAGCUGCUGUUCCAGCUGGGGAACGGUGGAACGCUGGCUGGCGAACCACGCCCUCCCUCUCCCCGCCACCCCCCAGUGCCAAGCUGACCCUUCGCGAUUCCUAGCCGAGGACCUGGAGGCACAGGGAACCCCCAAAGAAGCUUGAGUCUGUGCGAGGAUGCUGCGGGCGUGAACCGAUGACUAUGGCUUACUUCCCGCUGCCGCAGGCCUGCCCGCUCCAGCUCCUGCUCACGGGUCUGCAGCUCCAGCUCCAGGUGGCCCCUCGGUUCCUCCCGGGGUAGUUUCUGGGAUGUACAGCCGCACUAGAGCCUUUGCUCCCGGCUCAGAGGAGGGAGGCGGAGAGGGAAGGGUGGGGAGCCAAGGGGUGGAGAGCGCGGGAAGGGGGCACUUGCGGGGGCAGAGCAGAGUUCCCUGGACUCGGGAGCUGCCCCAAGGUGAGUCCUCUGGGGAGGGGCCAGUUCGGGGAAGGCGGAGCCAGAGAAGCCAGCGAGGCUGGGCGUGGCGUGCGCGGGCCCACCUGGCUCUGCCCGCGGUGCCGCUGCUCCCCCAGCUGCUGCUCCAGCUCUUCGUAAAGUCCGCGCACCUCCCUCUCGUGCUCACUCUCCCGCCUUCGAGGAACCGGGACACCACAGGCAAUGAGCAUUUGCCAGCUUCGUCUCUCGCCCCUCGGGAGACCCCAAACCUCGCCAGGCCGGCCCUCACCGCCGCAGCGCCUGCUCCAAACCAUCGCGCUCCCGGGCCGCCGCCUCCAGGCAGGCCGACGCGCGCACCAGGACUUCCUCCAGAGAGCCCAACAGCUCGGGUCGCUCGCGCUGUAGCCUGACCCAGAGUGUCCUCACAGCCCAUUGCCUAGGGGGUGCGAAUGGAGACUGGAGCUGGCAGGUGCCGGGGUGGGGGGGACGACGAGGGUGUCCCCUUUGCAGACGGUGAACCCCUGGAGAACCCAGCAGCCCGGAAUUGGCAGCACGUCGGCCGGCCGCGCACGGCUCAUCCCUAUGGGAUGUGCUCUCAGGCCUGCUUAGCCUCUAGAGUGCAAGGUGGCCUGUGUACCAAGAGCGAUGCCCAUGGGUGACUAGGUGUCUGGUGGCGCCCCGCCCCGCAGAGAUCUGGCCUCCUGAAAUGCAAAUCCUGAGGGAAAUCACGCCGGGCCGCUCUCCCAGACAGCCACAACUGACAAAGGAUGGACUGGGGCGGCCUAGGGAUUCUGUGGCAACAGACAGGCGGGCAAGGUGGACAGAACAUGCCGAGGAGAGGGAAGAAGCACGGAAAGGGGGUGGGCCCAGCAUCAACUCACUCGCCCAGGACCCGGGCCACUCCCAGCUUCUCUAAGGAAGUGCAGAAUGUCUCAACAUCGUCGUCCUCCUCCAGGGAGCCCCCUGUGCUUGACUCAAAGGUUUCCUCAGGAGUCCUCAAGGAGGACCCACCUUGGGCCGACUCCACCCCCACAAACUUCCCUGCAGACAUGCGAGGAGAGAUGACCAGGACUGCGGGUUAACCCUGGACCUGCCCAACUCCCCCGGCCACACACAACAUAUCCUGCCCUCUCUCAGGGCCCAGUU